rnacentral:rRNA from 1 species
UGCAGUCGAACGGUAGCACAAAGGAGCUUGCUCCUUGGGUGACGAGUGGCGGACGGGUGAGUAAUGCUUGGGAAUCUGGCUCAUGGAGGGGGAUAACUACGGGAAACUGUAGCUAAUACCGCGUAAUAUCUUCGGAUUAAAGAGUGGGACCGCAAGGCCACUUGCCAUGAGAUGAGCCCAAGUGGGAUUAGGUAGUUGGUGGGGUAAAGGCCUACCACGCCGACGAUCUCUAGCUGGUCUGAGAGGAUGACCAGCCACACUGGAACUGAGACACGGUCCAGACUCCUACGGGAGGCAGCAGUGGGGAAUAUUGCACAAUGGGGG